rnacentral:lncRNA from 1 species
UUUUAUUCAUUUAUGCAUAUGGUUAAUCAUUGCUGAUUGCCAUGUUGAAUUGUACUCUGUAUAUAUUGCAUGUAUAAGUCAGGUAUGAAAGGCUGAUCACCUUCAGUACCAGUUGGUCCGGAUAUAUAUUGUUCAUAUGUAAUACUUGUUCAGUCAAAAGUUUUUGUUCAUGCUAAUUCACAACUACAUUGCGAAUUAUAGCCAGCU